UAAUAUAUAAAAUAUUAUAUUAUAUUAUUGGAAAAAGCUUCUGUCUUCUGCUCAUAACAAAAAGACUUUGGUUUACCAAUACCAAAUUAGUUUAUAUUAUUAAUUAAAAAUAUGAUAAUCCAUUAUCUUGAUAAGAGCAAUAUGUAAUUAUUUGCAAAGGAAAACUUGGUAAGAUUUCAUUUUUCGAGGAUUUAGACUACUAAAUUUGAUAUACAUGCCAGACCCAUUGAAUGUAGACAAAUUGCUGAACGUGGUUCAUUGCAAUUUUAAAAAAUCUUCAAAAAAAAAAAGAAAAUAGAAAAGAAAAUGUAACGUAAAUGAUGACGAAACUCGAGUCAUUAGAUUCCAGUGGCAGCAUCGAAACUCCAGUGAAAAUAAAAGGUCAAGUUAAGUAGCGCGUGGCGAAACGAGACCGAAAAUUUGAGAGAAAGGGUCCCGCCAUCCGAGACGUGGACGAGACAUGACGUUUUGAUUUUGUAACUAAAAGUCGGCAGCGUCUCGUCACCGUUCUUGGUGCCCUCUUGCAGGGCUCACAAUCAACCCCACUCUUCCACGCGCUUAGUUCUACGUCGAAAACAGAGACCGACGGCCACCAUUCUCUUCCAGUCCCACAAAAACCACGCGCCUCUUACCUAUCCAAACACUGUUUGUCAAUUUUGUUUCGGGUCUUUUCCUUAUUACAGCGGCUUUCCCUUGUCACUUUCAACGCCACAUCGCUGCCGCGUCCUGUUUUUGACUUUUGCCACUGUGGUAACCUGCCCGCGUGAAUAUUUCUAGCUUCAGCAUUGAAUAAUGAUUUCAGCCAUUUCUGGCCAAAUUUCCUCCUCAAUCUCUAUUCUCUUUAUGCUUUAUUUAUAAAUAAUCUUUGGUACUCCCGUCCAAUAAUAGAUAGCAGAUAUCUUUAGUUUUCUUUUGUUGAUUCUGUUUAAAUAAACCUGCAGUCCUUUGAAGAAAUCUUGAAUCUCCUUUUUAACUUCUCUUUGUACAAGAAAUCAGUCAAAGAGUUUUGAUCGAUGAUCAUGGUGACGUUGGUUUUGGGGGAAUUCUUUGGUGCUUGAGCUAAACAACCGUAUGAAGAAGAUGAAGACCCCAUCUGCCAUGCUUACAAGUGGUACAUGAAUUUCACAUUUUCCUUGGAGUGGGAGGUUUUAAGUUUUGUUGCACUUGCUUUGCCUAAUUAAUAUGGUUGAAUUUGUGAUUUCUUGAAUAUUUCAUCAUGCAAUGAAGUGAUGUUUCUUUAUGGAUUA